GCAUAUCAAUAAGCGGAGGAAAAGAAACCAACAGGGAUUGCCUCAGUAACGGCGAGUGAAGCGGCAACAGCUCAAAUUUGAAAUCUGGCUCCUUCGGGGCCCGAGUUGUAAUUUGCAGAGGAUGCUUCGGGUACGGGUUCCUUCCGAGUUCCCUGGAACGGGACGCCAUAGAGGGUGAGAGCCCCGUCUGGUAGGACACCCAGCCCGUGUGAAGCUCCCUCGACGAGUCGAGUAGUUUGGGAAUGCUGCUCUAACGGGAGGUAUACUCCUUCCAAGGCUAAAUACCGGCUGGAGACCGAUAGCGCACAAGUAGAGUGAUCGAAAGAUGAAAAGCACUUUGAAAAGAGAGUCAAAUAGCACGUGAAAUUGUUGAAAGGGAAGCGCUCGCUACCAGACAUGGGUUCGGCGGUUCAACCGGGGCCACGCCCCGGGGCACUCCGCCGGCCCAGGCCAGCAUCAGCUUUCCGUCGGGGGCAAAGACGUCGGGAAUGUGGCUCCCCUCCGGGGGAGUGUUAUAGCCCGGCGUGUCAUACCCUUCGGGGGGGCUGAGGUACGCGCUUCUGCAAGGAUGCUGGCGUAAUGGUAGCUAGUGACCCGUCUUGAAACACGGACCAAGGAGUCAACCUUAUGUGCGAGUGCCCGGGCGUAAAACCCCAGCGCGGAAUGAAAGUGAACGUAGGUGAGAGCUUCGGCGCAUCACCGACCGAUCCUGAUGUCCUCGGACGGAUUUGAGUGAGAAGCAUAUAGGGUUGGACCCGAAAGAAGAUGAACUUAUGCGUGUGUAGGGUGAAGCCCAGAGGAAACUUCUGGUGGAGGCUCGCAGCGGUUCUGACGUGCAAAUCGAUCGUCAAACAUGCGCAUGGGGGCGAAAGAACUAAUCGAUCUUCUGGUAGCUGGUUCCCCCGAG
rnacentral:rRNA from 1 species